rnacentral:rRNA from 1 species
AACUAACGCUGGCGGCGUGCCUAACACAUGCAAGUCGUACGAGAAAGUCGGCUUCGGCUGAUGAGUAAAGUGGCGCACGGGUGAGUAACGCGUGGAUAAUCUGCCUUUUAGUUGGGAAUAACGUACCGAAAGGUGCGCUAAUACCGGAUAAUACUGAGCAACUACUGUUGCUUAGUCAAAGAAGGCCUCUGUUUACAAGCUUUUGCUGAAAGAUGAGUCCGCGUACCAUUAGCUAGUUGGUAGGGUAAUGGCCUACCAAGGCUACGAUGGUUAGCUGGUCUGAGAGGAUGAUCAGCCACACUGGAACUGAGACACGGUCCAGACUCCUACGGGAGGCAGCAGUGAGGAAUAUUGCGCAAUGGGGGCAACCCUGAUCCAGCCAUGCCGCGUGAGUGAAGAAGGCCUUCGGUUGUAAGUACUCUUUCUAGUCCGGGAAGGAAAGACGCGACUCUCUACAUAGGUGUGGAGUGACGGUACCGGAACGGAAGAAGACACCGGACG